rnacentral:rRNA from 1 species
AGUCGGACGAGAAAGUUCCCUUCGGGGAGCGAGUACAGUGGCGCACGGGUGCGUAACACGUUGACAACCUGCCUUCCAGUCCGGGACAACCCCGCGAAAGCGAGGCUAAUACCGGAUAACAAGCCGGGCCGCAUGGCCGGGCUUUGAAAGACUUGUCGCUGGAAGAGGGGUCUGCGGGACAUUAGCUAGUUGGCGGGGUAACGGCCCACCAAGGCUAUGAUGUCUAGCGGGUCUGAGAGGAUGAUCCGCCACACUGGAACUGAGACACGGUCCAGACUCCUACGGGAGGCAGCAGUGGGGAAUUUUGCGCAAUGGGCGAAAGCCUGACGCAGCAACGCCGCGUGGAUGAAGAAGGCCCUCGGGUCGUAAAGUCCUUUUCUGAGGGAAGAGAUCAGACGGUACCUCAGGAAUAAGCGUCGGCUAACUCUGUGCCAGCAGCUGCGGUAAGACAGAGGACGCAAGCGUUGUUCGGAUUUACUGGGCGUAAAGGGCGUGUAGGCGGACUGUUAAGUCGGGGGUGAAAUCCCAGGGCUCAACCCGGGAAUGUCUUCCGAAACUGGCAGCCUAGAGAGAGCUAGAGGCAGGUGGAAUUCCCGGUGUAGAGGUGAAAUUCGUAGAGAUCGGGAGGAACACCGGCGGCGAAGGCGGCCUGCUGGGGCUCAUCUGACGCUGA